UGGAGGGGAAACAACAAUGGCGGGAAACAACAGCAACAAUGGCGGGAAACAACAACAGUGGCGGGGAAACAACAACAGUGGCGGGAAACAACAACAAUGGCAGGGAAACAACAACAGUGGUGGGGAAACAACGGGAAACAACGGCGGGAAACAACGGCGGGAAAACAACAAUGGUGGGAAAACAGCGGGAAACAACAGCGGGAAACAACGGCGGUAAACAAUUGGAAACAACAGCAGGAAACAACGGGAAACAACGGCAGGAAAACAAAAAUGGUGGGAAAACAACGGCGGGAAACAAUGGGAAACAAUGGCAGGAAAACAACAACAACGGCGGGAAAACAACGGGAAACAAUGGCGGGAAAACAACAGCGGUGGAAAAACAAUGGUGGGAGAACAACAAUGGUGGGAAACAACAGCAGGAAAACAACAACAGUGGGAAAACAACGGUGGGAAAACAACAACAACAGUGGGGGAACAACAACAGUGGGGAAACAACGGGAAACAAUGGGAAACAAUGGGAAACAAUGGGAAACAAUGGGAAAGAACGGGAAAGAACGGGAAAGAACGGGAAACAAUGGGAAACAAUGGGAAACAAUGGGAAACAAUGGGAAACAAUGGGAAACAAUGGGGAACAAUGGGAAACAAUGGGAAAUAAUGGGAAACAACGGGAAACAACGGUGUGAAACAACGGCAAUGGGAAACAACAGCGGGAAACAACAGCGGGAAACAACAAUGGGAAACAGCAACGGGAAACAACGGCGGGAAACAACGGGAAACAACAGGAAACAGUGGGAAACAGGAAAACACACACGUAUCAUAUCCCAGGAUUCAUGGGGGGUGUUCCAGGGGGAAGUCCGGGGGUUCUGGGAGUCCAGGGAGAUCAGGAGUCUGGGAUUUCGGGAGUCUGGGAGUUCGGGAUUCUGGAAUUUUGGGAUUCUGGAAUUUCGGGAUUCUGGGAGUUCGGGAGUUCGGGAUUUUGGGAUUCUGGAAUUUUGGGAUUCUGGGGUUCAGGGAUUCUGGGAGUUUGGGUGUCCAGGAGUAGGGGGUCGGGAUUUGGGAGUUGUUGGGAUUUGGGAUUCAGGAGUUGGGAUUUGGGAGCUGGGAUUCAGGAUCGCCCCACGGACAGGGACAAACGGCUGGGAUUUGGGAUCGUGGGAUAUUUGGGAAAAACCAUCAGAAAUUUGGGAUCCCGGGACAGUCAGGGACAAACAGCCGGAAUUCGGGAUCGCCCCACGGACGGGGACAAACGGCUGGGAUUUGGGAUCGUGGGAUAUCUGGGAAUAAGCAGCGGGAAUUUGGGAUCGUGGGAUAUACAGGAAGAACCAUCAGAAAUUUGGGAUCGUGGGAUAUCUGGGAAUAAACAACGGGAAUUUGGGAUCGUGGGAUAUCUG
rnacentral:lncRNA from 1 species